UGCGAGUUGAACGCUCCGCCCUCUACUGCCCUUCGGGGCAGAAGAGGAUUACGGAGAGUAGCGGACGGGUGAGUAACGCGUAGGUAACCUGCCCUGGAGAGGAGGAUAACUCUGCGAAAGCGGGGCUAAUCCUCCAUAUGUUAGGGCAUCGUAAGAUGCCUUAAUGAAAGGCGGCAUUAAGCCGUCGUUUCAGGAUGGGCCUGCGUCGGAUUAGCUAGCUGGUAGGGUAAAGGCCUACCAGGGCGACAAUCCGUAGCUGGUCUGAGAGGACGAUCAGCCACACUGGGACUGAGACACGGCCCAGACUCCUACGGGAGGCAGCAGUGGGGAAUCUUCCGCAAUGGGCGCAAGCCUGACGGAGCGACGCCGCGUGAGUGAAGAAGGCCUUCGGGUCGUAAAGCUCUGUCAGUGGGGAAGAAGGCAGUCAUCAAGAAAAGGGUGACUGUUGACGGUACCCGCAAAGGAAGCCCUGGCCAACUACGUGCCAGCAGCCGCGGUAACACGUAGAGGGCAAGCGUUGUCCGGAAUUACUGGGCGUAAAGGGCGCGCAGGCGGC
rnacentral:rRNA from 1 species